rnacentral:rRNA from 1 species
CGGUAAUACGGUAGUGGCAAGCGUUAUCCGGAAUUAUUGGGCGUAAAGCGUCCGCAGGCGGCUUUUCAAGUCUGCUGUUAAAGCGUGGAGCUUAACUCCAUCAUGGCAGUGGAAACUGAAAGGCUUGAGUAUGGUAGGGGCAGAGGGAAUUCCCGGUGUAGCGGUGAAAUGCGUAGAUAUCGGGAAGAACACCAGUGGCGAAGGCGCUCUGCUGGGCCAUUACUGACGCUCAUGGACGAAAGCCAGGGGAGCGAAAGGGAUUAGAUACCCCUGUAGUCCUGGCCGUAAACGAUGAACACUAGGUGUCGGGGGAAUCGACCCCUUCGGUGUCGUAGCUAACGCGUUAAGUGUUCCGCCUGGGGAGUACGCACGCAAGUGUGAAACUCAAAGGAAUUGACGGGGGCCCGCACAAGCGGUGGAGUAUGUGGUUUAAUUCGAUGCAACGCGAAGAACCUUACCAGGGUUUGACAUCCUGCGAACCUCUUAGAAAUUUGAGGGUGCCUUCGGGAAUGCAGUGACAGGUGGUGCAUGGCUGUCGUCAGCUCGUGUCGUGAGAUGUUGGGUUAAGUCCCGCAACGAGCGCAACCCACGUUUUUAGUUGCCAGCAUUUAGUUGGGCACUCUAGAAAGACCGCCGGUGAUAAACCGGAGGAAGGUGUGGAUGACGUCAAGUCAUCAUGCCCCUUACACCCUGGGCUACACACGUACUACAAUGCUACGGACAAAGGGCAGCAAACUCGCGAGAGCUAGCAAAUCCCAUAAACCGUGGCUCAGUUCAGAUCGUAGGCUGCAACUCGCCUACGUGAAGUAGGAAUCGCUAGUAAUCGCAGGUCAGCAUACUGCGGUGAAUACGUUCCCGGGCCUUGUACACACCGCCCGUCACACCAUGGAAGUUGGCCAUGCCCGAAGUCGUUACUCCAACCCUUGUGGAGGAGGACGCCGAAGGUGGGGCUAAUGACUGGGGUGAAGUCGUAACAAGGUAGCCGUACCGGAAGGUGCGGCUGGAUCACCUCCUAA